rnacentral:tRNA from 1 species
GAGAGAUGGCCGAGCGGUUGAUGGCGCUGGUCUUGAAAACCAGUGAUGCUGAAAGGCACCGGGGGUUCGAAUCCCUCUCUC